ACCGCACCGUGCCCAAGGCAGAUGGCGCCACUGCAAGCUUCACCUGAGCUCAGAACUCACUCUGGUGCCUUCCCUCAGCCCCUUCCAUCUCCCAGGCAGGAAGAAGCAUCAACCUCCUUCCAGGCUUACGGGCUCACGAGAAGCUUCUGGUUUAUACCCAGGCAAGAUAACAACGGAACAGCACUCACAAGCCCCAUCAUGGGGUUGAGCAGAGGGGGUGACAUACGUGCCCCCAUGGAAUGGUGCUCCAGCCAGAAUACAGGUCUCCCCAGAACCUCAGAACGUGGCUUCACUCGGAAACAAGAAGUCUGUGCGUGGCUGGGUGAGCACCAGCAAAGAUACAGUCACGAGGAAACCAAGCUGGGAAGUUGUGGGAGGCAGAGAGGAUCAACCAGAGAGAAGACUGCCAAGGCUUUUCCUGGUUAAUGUGUUCAGAGUAGAAUCUGAAGGAAGACUACUGAGCUCUGGCUGCAAGCACAGACUGGACCCCUCUGAGAUUUAACAAGUGUUAGCUGACUCCUUUGUAGAGGCCCCAAAUCAGCAGAAAAGAUGCCACUGUCGUCUUUAAAGUCUUCCGGCUCCACACAAACAACACGAGAGACAUAUGCAUGCACUGUUUCCCCAGAUGAAUCAGAAAGUCAAUAGUCACACCAACCAAGAGGGUACUCCUCGGGGCUCAUCAGGGAUGGGAGAUGAAGGGGGCGGGACCAAAGCGCAUCCUUUCUAACCUGACUCAGCCCCAUCCAAUUCAGAGUGGCCCCUGUCCACUCACCAAGUUGGAAAGGCAACAAAGCUGUUAGGACUUGCUUGUCCAAUGGGCAAGAGUUCGCAUGAACAAAUGAGAGAAAAGGACA